UACGAAGGGGGCUAGCGUUGCUCGGAAUCACUGGGCGUAAAGCGCACGUAGGCGGAUCUUUAAGUCAGGGGUGAAAUCCUGGAGCUCAACUCCAGAACUGCCUUUGAUACUGGGGAUCUCGAGUCCGGAAGAGGUGAGUGGAACUCCGAGUGUAGAGGUGAAAUUCGUAGAUAUUCGGAAGAACACCAGUGGCGAAGGCGGGUCUCUGGGCCGUAACUGACGCUGAGGAGCGAAAGCGUGGGGAGCGAACAGG
rnacentral:rRNA from 1 species